rnacentral:sRNA from 1 species
ACAGUAUCUAACAGCCCUAUCGCUGGCUA